rnacentral:rRNA from 1 species
CCCCAGGCUUUGGGAUAACCCCGGGAAACCGGGGCUAAUACCGGAUAUGACCAUCUGUCGCAUGGUGGGUGGUGGAAAGAUUUUUUGGCUUGGGAUGGGCUCGCGGCCUAUCAGCUUGUUGGUGGGGUGAUGGCCUACCAAGGCGGCGACGGGUAGCCGGCCUGAGAGGGCGACCGGCCACACUGGGACUGAGACACGGCCCAGACUCCUACGGGAGGCAGCAGUGGGGAAUCUUGCACAAUGGGCGGAAGCCUGAUGCAGCGACGCCGCGUGAGGGAUGACGGCCUUCGGGUUGUAAACCUCUUUCAGCAGGGACGAAGCGUUUGUGACGGUACCUGCAGAAGAAGCGCCGGCCAACUACGUGCCAGCAGCCGCGGUAAGACGUAGGGCGCAAGCGUUGUCCGGAUUUAUUGGGCGUAAAGAGCUCGUAGGCGGCUUGUCGCGUCGACUGUGAAAACCCGUGGCUCAACUGCGGGCUUGCAGUCGAUACGGGCAGGCUAGAGUUCGGUAGGGGAGACUGGAAUUCCUGGUGUAGCGGUGAAAUGCGCAG